rnacentral:piRNA from 1 species
UGUCAGUAUCUCCAGCAGUGCCUGGCGUGU